rnacentral:rRNA from 1 species
CAGCUCUCCGAGUAGUGUGGACGUUUAUUGGGCCUAAAGCAUCCGUAGCUUGCUAGAUAAGUCCUCUGUUAAAUCCACCGAUUCAAUCGUUGGAUUGCGGGGGAUACUGUUUGGCUAGGGGACGGGAGAGGUCGACGGUAUUUCCGGGGUAGGGGUGAAAUCCUAUAAUCCCGGGAGGACCACCAGUGGCGAAGGCUGUCGACUAGAACGCGCCCGACGGUGAGGGAUGAAAGCUGGGGGAGCGAACCGGAUUAGAUACCCGCGUAGUCCC